GUUAAAGAUGGAAAGAAACACAGUAUAAAGUUUAAAGAUGGAUAUAAACACAGUAUAAAGUUUAAAGAUGGAAAGAAACACAGUAUAAAGUUUAAAGAUGGAAAGAAACACAGUAUAAAGGUAAAAGAUGGAUAGAAAUACAGUAUAAAGUUUAAAGAUGGAAAGAAACACAGUAUAAAGUUUAAAGAUGGAUAGAAAUACAGUAUACUGCAGUGUUUAUUUCCAAGGCAGAGUGUAACAUGUCUGUUUAUGACAUGGUAAUGGAGGGGAGGAGUGCGCUUUCAAGGAAGGUCAAAUGCCAAUAAUACGGUAUACGUGGUCUGAAACAUUAACAUGUAUGUCUCAGUGUGAAUGACUGAUCAUCAAACCCAAUCAACAGCUUUGGUUUAUUGCUAUCUUAAACAAACACACGUCCUUUCAAAGCCUGUUUCCUGCCUGCCAGCUUAAACGAGACCCCCGCUAGCAGUAGCUACCCCAUGCUGAGGCUCCAAACCGGACCCCGGACUCUAGAAAACGAGCUGCAGCGCAACACAGAGAACAACAUAAUUAACUCUUAAUGAACCUCCUUCUUCCAUCACUAACACACACUUCCCAAAUUCAAUUUGGCCUAAUCCUGCCUUUAUGGUAAUGUAUAGCUCAUUAAAAUGUUAGUUACAGACUCAUUAAAAUGCACUCAGAGACAUAAUGAAUUCAUUACUAUGAUACUGCUGAAAAAGAAAGAGGAGCUAGACGAGAAGAAGGACACGGGAGAAGAAAGCAAAGGAAAGAGCGAGAAUGAGAGAGGAAGACAGGCUUCCCGAUGACUUAAUUUUGACUGGAAUCUGCAUAUAUUUGCAUAAUAAACCUGCAUGCUGUGCAGCUAAUUUUCAGCAUAGCUCUAUAAUGAAGGCCCUUGCAAUUAAGAUUCUUUUCUUCAAAAUAAAUGUAGGACCCGUUCAUAGCUCUUUGUAGCGUCUCACUUUGUGUGUACGCAUCUGUCUGGGUGUGUCAGUGAUGUCUCGUUUGGGUUACAUUCGAAUUAUUUUGCCUAAGUAUGGUAGCUGAUGAAUGCAGGUCAAAGACGACCCAACAAUAUAAACAUAAACGAUGUUGAAAACACCACCUGUGCGCAAAAGCAGCGUGUCCAGAAUGUGAAUUUUCAGCCAUUAAGUGUUUUUCAGCUAGUUCUUCAGCUUUGUAACCCUGCGCUGUGAAGGAAUCAGAGAAGGCAGCAGUAGCAAAGAGACUCCCAAAAAGCCAAGGUCUUCAAGAGACGAUGUUUCAGCCGCUGUAGUCUGAUUCUGCCUAAUGAACGUAGCUGGAGAGCUCUGAAAACUUGGAGACUGAGUAGAAUCAAAAGACUUCAUCUCAUCAUCCAACUCCGCUGCUAACACGCCUGCUUUUAUCCCGUACCUCGGAAUCAAACAAACGUCUGACUGCAUGCGAGAGACGAGACUCAAGACAGAAGCUGGGGAUGAUUGUGAGAUCAAAGACAUGAAUUGGCUGAUCAGGUUGGGAGAUUCAUAUUCCUCUGUAAAACAGGGAGAAAGGCAAACCUUUUGCAGCAUUAAAUAUGUUGCUGGCUGUGUAAGUUUUCUUAUAUUCGUUACUACGCCUUUGAUAUAGAUCUCUAAUUAGUUUGUCAAGAUGGUGAUCACAUGCCGGGGUUGUAAGAACCCUGAUGGAAAUGAACCCUUUGGCGGAAUCAAAGUUUUUUUUUCUUUUUCCAUUAGUAUCAAAGGGUAUUUAGCCACUGUUGGCUUUUAGACUGUCAGGGCAGAAUACUACCAGGAAGGCUUAACACAG
ensembl:lncRNA